AAUCUGAUGAGUUCCUGAAAUGUAAAUAUACUCUUUUAUGUAUCUUAAAGUUUUUCUUAGGCUUGGAUCUCAAAACAUAUAUUCCAAUAAUACUCUGCAUGCAUUGUUUUCAUCUUCCUUAGUGUUUCAACUUGCCAUAGUAUUAAGAUCAGAAAUGUGGCAUGAAGGUUACUAAUUAUACUAAUUAUAUAACUUAUUUCCUUUGUUAAAGUUGCAAGUGCUGUAAGUUUAUUCUUGACAUAUCUCUAAAAUGCCAGCUCGAGAGCUAAUCCAAAUGGAAAGAUAUAUGAUAUGAAAAAAUAAAAAGACAAACAAUUACAAGAUAGAUUUCUCCAAAACAAAGUUUAGUUCACUUAGAACAGGAUGACUCAACCUUUUCUGCCAGAAAGUUAGCUAUCCCUUCACUGGGGAAUAAGAGAACACGGAAUGUACUCUUAUACUAGCUCCUGUAAUGUAGAAUUUUUCUUUCCUUAUGCAGUUGAUUUUGUUUGUCAGGCACAGCUUCUCAACCUGUGAUGAAACAUUCAAACAUUACCUAUUCAUUGACUCAUCUAGAAGGGAAUCCAUGGGCCUAGUAGGGAAGUGACACAUUACAGCUGUGCUGAUGUCUUUGCUGUUCUUAGUUGGAGUCCAAAGUAUAGCACAUGUUUACAAGGAUUCAUCUUGUGAUGAUUUUUAUUAUUAUUAUUUAUGCUAACAAAGACAUUGAACAGAAUGGCAAUCUAAAUCUCAGUGGAGUGGAGAGUUAUGUGAAGUGUUGUAACGUGUUUCUCAUGGGAACUAACAGAGGACUAAUAGUAUAAUUUUCUUUAUUCUAAAUGAACAAAAUCUUAAGAGACUCCUUUAUACUCUUUCAAGAAUGUGCAAUUGGUUUCUUUUGUAUGGUAAAAAUCCAUGAAAUUCCAUACAUGAUAAUCUAUAAGUGUCAGAGGAAAAAUGGAAAACUUUUCACCAUGGUUUAGCUAGGCUGAGUCCGUAGGGCCUUCUGAAGGAGACAUCAAUAAUUAGCAGAACUAUUUGUUACUACCUUGUUUUCAGCAAACGAUAGCUAAAGUUUCAAAACAACUACUCAACUGCUAACAGGCAGAACUGGUAGUUCUGUUUGGUGAGAGAAAUCGGUGAUUUAAUAUUGUCAGUGAUUUUAGGGUGUUUUUUUUUUUAUGGCAACAACAGCAAUUUAUUAAUAAAAUCCACAGGGAUCUCAUGACUAACAGAAAGUAAUGGGCCCUCAGCUUUCCCAUACAAGGCCCACUAGUUAGAAAUAAAUAAAUGUAAGCUGAACUGCUGUAGCCUGCAUUGAAAUGCCUAAACAAGUGGUCUGGGAUAAAGUUCAAGCAAAUUCAAGAAGUUGAAAAAAAUUAUUUGUAUUAAUAAGUCAGUGGAUGACUAAAUCUCCAGGUGGAAGAAAGAAGUCAAAUGUGUAGGCAGUCUGAGGAUGUCUUAGGAGAGGCAUUUUCAACAUUAUGUAUGAAUGCCUUUGUAAUCAGUACUGGUAGAAAAAAUAUGAAAAAAUGAAAUAAUGAAAAAAUGUGUACAGUUCUCAACCUUUUGUUUGGGGAAAAGAAGAGGUCUGGAAGAAAAUUACACAUUUUGUGGAAUUUAGAGAAACAAAAGUAAUUUUUUUUUUUUUGAAUGUUAUCCAGAAUAAGGAUAUUGUUCCAUAAGGAACAAAGAGAUAUACAACAUGAAUAAAAUGGGAACUUAGACUGGAAAUUAAAAUGCUUCUGACUUUCAAAGGAGUGAAUUUGUGAAAUAACCAAGGGGAGCACAAGAAUAAAUAUGAUGUGGUUUCCUGCACCUCUCUUAUAUAGAUUUGCUGAGCUUAACAAUAAAGUUAGAGUGAAAAGCAUGAGUGUAAACAAGGUGAGAUAAAGAAGAGUAUGGGUAUAUGAUUAUAUGAUCUGUAUUUUCUGUUAGGAGAAGGCAAGGUGAUUGUGAUGACGAACGAGAAGCCAUCAGCCUUAAAUGGCUCAAAGCACAGGGAAGGGAGACCAACAGCAAGGGGGAAAUGGAGCAAACAGGAUCAGUUUGGGGAUGGACAGCAGAGCAGGUCUGUGAGUGUCCAAGUGUCAGCUGUUGGAAAUGUCAAAAGAAUACUGUUACACCAUAACAAUUGGGGGGAAAAAAAACUGGGCAGUGUGGUGGAGGUGCUGCUGUGCAGGCCUGCUCAGGCAGCUGUUUUGUUAAGCAUAAUUUUCUUGUACAUGACUGAAUCAUAUUUUUCCAAGCUGAGGAAAAAAGAAUCUGAUAUGUUUUCUUGAGAAUUUAUCUGAUGACAGCGCGUUUACUGAACUUCUCACAAAAAUCAUCACAUAAAUAUUUGAUUCUGAUUGCGAUUUCAGCAAGUUUAUUUCCAAGAGCUUGAUUUAUAGAUAAAAUUCUGUGUACCAGUCUCCAAAUAAAACAAAGACUGAGAAUAUGAAAGAGACAAAGUUACUGGGUUUUAUUGUAACAUAUUUUCAGCUACUCCUUUUUAUUUUAAGGAUAUAAACUGCAGAAACUAAGUGAAGAUGGAGAAAAUCCUUUCACUUAUAAUAAUUUGCAUUUCAAUAUUAGCUUCUUUUGCCUUCCUCUCCCAGUCUCUGACAAAUUCCUUGCUGCAGUUCUCACAUGAAAAGUCCUGAAAAGCAAAGCAAACAUCUGAACACUGUUGAAUUAAAAGAUUGAAGUAAUACAACACUAUUCAGGUUAACAUAAAUGUAAAGAACCAGUUAUAAUCUGAUUUAAUUACAUGACUAGAGACUUUCUGUCAGUGGAGUAAAUUUCUGAUUUACAAAGAAGGCCUGGAUGCAUUGGAACAUUUAUACUUCUUUUUUUUUUCCCAUGGUCAUGGUUUUAGAGAAUGAACUUCUGACCAUAAGGAGGCAUACAAGGAAACGAACAGGUUCCACUGUCCAUCACUGCAGAGCGGAGCUAUUCUCUGCUUGUGAGUUGAGCUCAGAAUUCACUUGCUGCUAAGCCUGGUGAAAAUAAGUGGAAAUUCUAUUAAGUCUCUUGCUCUCCACUUCUUUUGGAUCAGAAUCUCAUUACUUUAAAGUACUGUUACUGAAACAGUUUGGCAUCAAAUGCCUGAAAUGUGUCCUUAUUUCUUGAAAUUAGUACUAAUUCUAGCGGUAGUUGAAAGUAAUUUUAGGAGUGUGAACUGGUGCACUGAGAUUAUAAAUUGGCACUGCAGAUGUUCUUUUCAAUUCAUGAAAGCCAGUGGAAGUUUUAUCUGGCUGAGGACUUAGUGCCCAGCGUGUCAGGGCCUCAUCCUGGCUUUGCUCAUAUGCACAUUUUGUGAAUUCUUUUUAUGAGUUGCCAUAGAGCAUGUAUGAAUACCUUUUUUCUUUCUUGAGGAUGGAAGAAACCUUUCAAACACGGUUAGCAGGCCAUACAUUUUCCAAGUACUUCAUGACGUCUAACUUUAAUAUCAAAAAAAAAUUAUGUGGUAAUUUGCAUGAAGUCAGAACUGAUGAACUUUAGAUUUCUUAGCCCUGCCAUAAAGGAAGCAGUCAGGUCCAGUCAACAUGAGAGAUGAGAAGCUUUUAUUUACUCUUCUGCUGAAUCCCAAAGGAAGAAUAAGGUCAGGGAGAGGACGUUAAACUGUACAAUAUUUGGGCAGUGAGCUCUGCACAACGUAAAUUGAAUAUACAAUUCAAGUACAAGCUUGGUAAAGGAAUCCUCACUGUGUAUAUGAAAUGUUUCCCUGAUGAAUAGUCAAUGGCUCUGGUUUGUGUUUAAAUUCCUCCCUCUGCACUCAUGCAUUUAGGAAACUAGGUUGGAAAAGAUUCAUUUCUGUCAUUACCAGGCUUACUGGAACAAACAGGAAUGCUUCCACUGUGAAGAAAUUCUUUAUGAAAGAGACACUGAAGCAGUGGUGUCAGGUGGGGAAGCCAUAUCUAGUGUUUGUCAUAGCUUCUGUAGAAAGGCUGGCUGAAAAAGUCAGGGAUGCUCUGAAGAAGCAUGAUAUUUUGGUUUUCCAAAGUGCACCACCUGUUUACCAUGGUAAAUUACACUUAAAUAUAGGAAGUGUGCAAAUGGCAGUACCUCAUCACUUAAGCCUAGGCCUUCACCCACAAACAGCUGGUACAUUUGACCUGGAAACAUUUAUAAUGGUUAUUCCUGCCUUGACUAGCCGUGCUUUCUAACUGAGAAAACAAGAGCACAGCGUGGCCUUGACUGUGGUCUAACUGCACCACCCUGCGUGGCAUGUCUGGCCCAUGCUACCAACCUAUUUUUAAAAAGGAGCAGCGUGUCAUUUGAAGAAACUGUUUUCAGCUUCUAUUGCUGGAACGUAAGAAUCACUUUUAUCCUUCCUAACCAAAGAAAAGGAGGUGGAGAUAUUAAGAAAGGUAUCUAAAUAUAUCCAUUAAUUGAUGAACGUGCUAGCUUUGUUGCUUGUAUGACAAUAGAUGACUUCUGUUGAUUGAAUAAAUACUGGAGUAAAUGGAGGGUUUAGCUAGAAAUUGUUUUUGUGGGAAGCUGUCGUUGUGGUUGUGGCAUUAAACAAGUUCUUUGAAAACAUAGAAAAGAUUAAUCAUUGGCAUCUAGAGAGGGGAAAAAAAUGUUAGUGAUGUUUAUUGAAGGCAUCGUUAAAUGCCAUGGCUUAUUAUAAGACAUGAAAGAAAACAAGCUUCAACAAACCACAGCAGAAGGAAGAAGUUUUUUUUCUAAUAUUACAAAUUUUUGGAAGAGCUGAGUUUCUGCUUUAUGAGAACAAAUAUGUCCCACUCCAUAUUUAACCUUUCAGGGGGAUGAAGGAAGUUACUGCAAGAGUUCGUUAAAUAGGCACCACUUUAACAGUAUAUAAUUCUUUGAUGAAAGAUAGGAGAAGGAAAGGAGGCAGAGAAUGUGCCCCCUUCAUGUAAUCUGCAUGAAGAACAGCAGAUCUUUUCUGCUGUGUGUGCUGUUUCAUGAAGUAAAGUAAGACAAAGUAAGACAGACUAAAGUAUCAUUCAGCUCUUUUGGAUAUUCAUGUAAUGUCAAAUUUGAGAAAUGUCACUUCUGAGCUCAGCUAUAAAAAGUACUGCGUGUAUUUCAGCUCUUCCAAGUACAGCGCGUGAAUGGGACCAUCAGCUACUCCAGAUUUACUCAGAAUAUUUGACCCAGUAUUUUAAAGAUAUGGAGGUUUCUGUCACUCACGGCCUGCUGUCCUUCUGUGUCAGAGGAAACCCAGUGUAAUGAGACAUGCUGCUAAGAAGGUUCUGGAGGAGGCUAGAGCACUCUUACCUGCAAUACCUGAGGAAUGUGCUUUUGUAGAACACUCAAAACGUACUUAUGAUUCUUCGGGCACAUAAGGCUGGACAGUCCAUUCACAGAUGGCCUUGAAGUCUUCAGCUUCUCUUGGUUGUCCUUCACAUUCUCUGAGUUUUUACUUAUUAGGCAGAAAAAGUGUUUCAUGGAGAUUCAUAGAAUGGCUUGUGUUGGAAGGGACCUCAAGGAUCAUCAAGCUCCAGUCCCCCUGCCGCAUGCAGGGCCACCAACCUCCAUAUCUAAUACUAGACAUAUAGACUUAUACAUACAGACUACACUAAGUAAUCUAUUAGAGCUUGAGAUAAUGGAAAGUCAUUUGGAAACUGGGAUCAAAUGAGAAAGUUGCACUUGGGCAAUGCAUAAUGUGUACAUGCUAAAGAUUGGUCAAGAUGAAUACUCUCAUCCAGAAGUCCUGUAGAUACAUCUUCACAAUGGGAAGUAUUCCACUGAAGCUACCUGUCCAUAUUAACAUGGCACAGAAUCCACAAAUGCUUCACUCCACUUCUCAGGCAAGCAGUGGAAGAAUUCUUGUAUCUUUCAUCUGUUGCUGCAAAGUGGUGCACAAGUCAAAAUCACAAUUGAAAAGUUAACAGUUGAUCAACCUUACUAUAAGCCUACUGAUACAAGAUCUGCAGAAAGGAAGGACUGGAUUAUUUGGGGGAAGAAAGCAAAAACAUUCAGAUCCUACAUCCAGAAGAAUUGCUGUUAAUGUUUACAGGUUUCAUGUAUGUUCUUUUGCCUGAGCUGUGCUUUGGGGUGCAUUGGCUCUUUUCUCUGGAGUAAAACAUGAAAAAUCUUCCUUUCUUUGGUGAUCUCCAGAGCUUUUUAAAGGUACGGUAGAACAAUAGUACUCUCACAGUAGUUUUAAUGGGACAGAAGUGUUGCUGUGUUGUCUUACAGAUUUUAUCAAAUUGUGCUUAGAAUUCAUUCAUUUUGAUCACUCAUAUUAUAGACAAAAUUCUUCUUGUAGGAUGUUUAUAUGUCCCAGAGCAUUCAUAAUGCACUGUGUUCAGCCAUCUACAAGCAUUUAAUUACAGACCGUCUGUUUCAUGUAAAAAAUAUUUGCCAAGACUCUUUUGGCAGAGUAAGGAGUGAACUUCGUAAAGGAAAACCAAGUUGCUCAUCGGUGGUGGCAGCAAAAAUGAGGAAAAGAACUACCCAAGAGUUUCUUGAAGAUUCCAGUUGAUGGAUCCUGGCCUGAUUGGGUCUCUUAUAUAAACCUUGAUGGAAUGGUGCUAAAUUUUGCAUGGAAACCUUUAUUUUUUUCCCCACUUCAACAACUGUAGCUGAAUGUACAUUUAAAAAUGGUAUUUGAAAAUUAAACUCAUAAGACAUCAUUAUACAAGACAUAAGCACAAACUUAGUACAGAAAGGGAGAAAGCAUCCAGUCUUUGAAAAUAAUGUUUGUGCCUUGUGCUUUUUUAAAACAUAAACAUAGAUUAUCAGCACACUACUAAAGUGAGGCUGCAUCUCACCUUCCACAGUCUCACAGCAUAAAAAUAGCAUAUUUGAACUUACCAGAAGAUUGAUGUUUCUUUGCUUUCGUAUUACUUUUUCCUUUGUAUUUUAUGAAAAUGUAUGCCUUGCUGUCCAAUGUUGAAAAUAUCCACUGAGGUGAUUUUAAAGUUAAACCUGAAGAUUCAAGUUGGAAGUUACUGAAGGAUGAGUUUGGGUUUUUUCAAAGUGCUAUUAUUUUGACUCCUUGAGGGCUCCACAUGAAUACUUUACCUCUCCUUUUCUUUCUUUGGUUUGAGAUUCAUAACUGCAGCUGCUGUGCAAAGUAAAGUUUCCAUUGAGGACUAGCUGACCAAAUUUGUCAUGCUGAAAGUGAAAGUUGUAUCAGAAAGAGUGGGGUUUCCUUCAGUGCAGCAAGUCUGAGUACUGGAGCAGGUUCUAUUUCAGUCAUCCCUCCACUUCAGCAUAUAUCAACAGAUGGAAUCAGUGCAUCUUUUCUGUUGUACUUCAGCCUCCUACUCACUGACCACAGCAGGGACUAUGUCACGUCAUUGAGCACCAAGAGACACUGGAGAGAGGGAGUCCAACUGCCCACAGAGGCCCUGAGGUGCCUGGAGGAGGGAAACACCCCAGGGUAUCUCAUCUUCCUCCUCCACCCUCCUCCCAAAGCCAAAUGCCCAGAAUGUGCUGAGCUGAACUGAAACCCUGCCCUGUGGCCUUGGGGAGCAGUCAGCUAUGUGGCUGUAGACACCAUAUGCUGAGGGAGCACCACCUUCCUGCUUUCACUGGCAGAAGUGAGUUUCCCUUAAAAACCAGCAAAUUAUGCAGUUUCACACCUGACUCUUCAGUUGAGCAGGUGGAAAUGUCCUUUUCUGGGCCUCAACAGUAAAGGAGCCAAAGGCCAGGGGUCAGCUAUUAAGUUCAGCUGUUCCCUAUUGCAGGUUCAACUCAUGCUCCCUGGCCUGGCUGUGCUCUGAGGCACCUUGAGGCACUUGUGCCUUUGCGGUAUGAGCUCAUUUGUUGUCAUUUCCACUUUGGGGUGGGAAAAAAGGUCAUAAGAAGAGAUCAGUAAAUGUGCAGCAUUCAUAAAGCAAGGCCGCUUCAAAACAGACACGUUGCAGUGUUAUCAUAUCCAGGAAAACAGCAACAGACAGCGUAACUUUAAAAUACCACCCAGAAACUCUUGCUUGGAAAGGACAACUCACAGCAUCAAAGCCUGGACGUACUUGCCAAACCAUGCUUUAACUUACUGCCAAGACACCAGAUUUAUCCCCUUAGUAGCAAUGAUGCGCUAGGCAAGAUGGUGAUUGCUACAGCAAAGUGGGGAUGGGUUUGUUUCACAGUGGUCACGAUGACAGAAGGAGCCCUGCAGAUAUUAAUACUUGAUGAGAAAGGUACAUGAAAUUAGCCUGUGAACUGUUUGUGGAUAAAUAUCUCUCAAGCAUACAAUAAGAAUUCAAGCAAAUUAAUUUAACAGCUAGAAGUCAAAUGUAAUGAAAAAAUAUUUAUGAAAAUUUUGUAUGUUUAGGUGAAUAGUUUCAAACCAAAAAUAAAUGAGAAAUAAAUACAGCCUAGUAGAAAUUGGACUGUGUUUAGAUUCUGAUAAUCUGAAAGGGCAUUUUUUAGCAUAAGGAUAAGUUCAGGUGAUUAUUUAAAGAAUAAGAUCAGAAUGGCUGUUCUUGACUUUAAUUUGGAGCCAAAAUAUUCUAUGUAAAGAACUUGUAAAAUCCAUGUCCCCUUUAGUUCUACAGUCAGUAAUUACUCACAGGAUAGAGUAUUCAGAUUUAUGAGGAAGAAGGAGAGAGUGGCAGUAAGUUGUUACUUCUAUUUCCAGCCAAUGUUUGCAAAUUCAAUGGCAAUAACAAACCAAAAACCUGACUUUCUCCCUUCAAACCGCUCUAUAUCUGUGGUCAAAAAUGUAUAGCUAUGUUUUACAUCUUUUUUAGCACAUAAACAUUUAAGGAUACUUACCUCAACCACACGACAAUUUUCUGAGCCUUGCAAGUCUUACAAAUCCCUAAUCACAGUUGGAUGUAUUCAGUAAUGUAGAAUUAAGGAGUAACAGCUGAAAUGCACCUGGGUUAGGUGGCUACUGAGGUUAUAUGGUGUCGAAAUAAUAAGGUGUGGGUCUGGUUAGAGAGGGACCAGGCAUCUGUUCCCACCUCAGCUACAACUUCCCAUACUAGUACUCAUAUUGAGUACUGAGUAUUAUAGUACUGAGGAUUAUAGCACUAGUGAUUGUGCUAUAACAGUGAUUGUGAUUACUGAGGUAAUCUAAACAGAGAACUUUGCUUCUCUGGAAGUGGAGAAUAACUACUGUAUUUUAGUGACAUGCUGAUGGAACCUCAGUUUGGAUGUCCAAAGAUGUAGUUCCUGGCUGAUGCAUAUACAAGUAAAUUGUUACUGACUUAAUUUUGUCUUAAUGGGAUUCUUUUGUUGACAAGGUAAAUUUGUGACUUCUGAGCCGAGAAUUGUCUUUAGCUGGUGACAGCUUUCAUUUAGAGCAAGCAUUAUACUUAUUACCAUGACAGAGGCCCUUAAACAGGAAGAUGGAUAAAUUCUACUAGCAAGGAAUGGUAGCUGGCCUCUUGAUAACAUAUGGCAUAGCAUUGAACAACUUCCUGGAAACCUUAGCAGUGCAGAGGUUUGAAAGAACUGGACUGGCCUGCAGUUCAUAAACAUCAUAGGCUGAAUAAGCUGCUUCUAACUGCAUCAGAAACUUUUGCUCAUAUAUUUAGACUUUGCUUCUAGAACUAAAAGUGCUAAAAAGUGGCAAGACUAAAAAGGCAGCACAGCAAUAAAAAUUCCAUUUUGACUCUGGGGAGAGCCUCAGAGAUGUUGUGGUCAGAAUUUUCUCCAUUAUUUGCAAGUUCUCAAAGAAGAAUUUUCUUCAUUCUGGAUUAGCUUUUUGCAAAAUCUAUUAAGACUUUUAAUUUCAUUUAAAAAUAUUCUUAUGUUUUGAAACUUAGUCUGCAGGAAGUUUAACCAGACCUUAAUUAAGGACUCUGAGUGUGACAGAAGCUUGUGUAUCAACAAGGUGCUUUGCUUGUCUGCCCAAUAAAAAUACAAGGAGUAAUGCCUGUUUGGGGAGUAAGCAGAGCAGAAGCGAAGCAGGGAGGGGGGCACAAAUUAUGAGCUGCUUUGGUCUCCAUUGUCAGGAAGUACUUCACCACUUCCAUUGCCUCACUACAUCUCUUCUAUUAGAAAGCCUUUAUAAAUUACAGGAAUAAGUGGCCCUUAGCAAAUAACUUCAAAACAGAGCAACUAAAUAGGACUGAAGGAGAAUGGGAAACUCCAUUCUGCUACUGCUAAAGCAUAGUUCUGAGCUGCUGGCAUUUUUUCCCCCUCUCAGCUCAGGAUGAAAGACAAAAAUGUUAAUAAUUUCCACAAAUUGAAAAUCUGAAAAAUGUGAGCUGAGGUCAGCUGGAACAUUUCGUUUCUAUAAUUUUGUAAUAUCUUUUGACAAUGCUGAUCUGUCUUUAAUCAUUUUAUGCCUAAAUUUGCUAAGAUUUCAAAAUUUUAAGAAGUUCCAGCUUGAAGGAAACAAAAGCUUUCUAACUCAAAAUGUUGAAGAAAGACUAUAUUUUAAUGUUUUCAAAAAAUAAAUAAAUCAAGGAGCAAUAGGAAAUUGAGCCUUUUCUUAGCCAUUAGUCUGAGUCAUAACACAGAUCGGUAACAAAUGCUGUGUAUUUCAGUAGGAGAGCACUCCAGUGACUAACUUUUUUUCCUAUCCGGUUGACUGCAGUGACAUUUGGGUCAGGCCUACUAAGAUGGUUCUCCUAACUGUGCCAGUGCCAGAAAAAUGCUUGCAUGCUGAUAAGUCAAUGGAACAUCAAAGAGAAAUAUUCAUUUUUGUAGUCAAGAACAAGAUAUUUGAUGGUGGAACUAAUCCCUUGGCAAUAAAAAAUUUCCUUUACAGUCAAUUCUAUGAUUAAGCCAAAGCCACUUCUUUGUUCCUCCACCUGUCCCCGUGAGUCAGCAACGCUUUCCUCUUGCUUUUCCUCCAAGUCAGAUGACAGUGCCUCUCCUGGGCUGCAGACGCACAAGUGUUUUGCCUACAGUUAUGACUUGUUUAGCUUUUGCAGUGUUGGCAGCCUCUCUGAGCUCUGGCACACUUUCUUCCAAAUGGGAGAGUCUGGAGGGGGCAGUUUAUUUCUCAUACUGAUCGUGGUUUUGUUACUCUAAAAAUCAGGAGUUUGAAAAUCUCAUCACAACCAUUCGUAAUUUGCUUAGAACUGUAACAAAAAUGCUAAGUUUCAUCCUUAAAAGAGAAGUACUGAAAUGUUUAAGAUUUAAUCCCAUGGGAUUCUAAAAUAUAUAUAAUAGUAAUAGUAUAAUAGACAUCUUUGGGCCAAAUUAGCUCAUUGCGUUUAUCCCUUACCUGCAACUCUGAUGGGCACAAAGACAUGUCCACUUGGUAGUGUUGUACAUGUGAGUUACGCUGUUGUAACAUCUCUCUGAAAAGAGAUUCUUUUUUUGCAAGGACACCUUUGAAAUUCCAUCUCGUCAGUGUGUAAAGUUAUAACAGGAGCAAGAUGUUGUCCUCAAGUACCAGGCUGAGAGAUUAAUUCAAAUUUUGUUGCACUUUUGCUCUGAGUUAAGGUCAAUUGCAUGAAUGAACUUAAUAUUUAGUUUCCAUACAGGCAGAUCUAUAAUUCACUAUAUAUGCUUUAGCAUAUAUCAUAACUACAUUUUGCCUCUGAUUCUCUAUACUGAGGUAAGUAUUUGGUGGCAUUUGCCAGAUGUUCUUCCGAAGCCAAUGUGAAUAUCAACAACAUGAAGUAAGAGGUGCCACCUGUACCAGUGUCAUGCCAGGCCAGGCAGUGUGCUUCCCACCUAAUCACAGAGAGAAAGAAUCUGUGUGACUCAGAGCAGGCAAAGGAAAAUAAAUGUCAGACCUCUGGACUGAGAGCUCAGCUUGCCAGAGAGGAGGGUUGUUGGAGCCAGUGAACUCUCCAUUGCCUUACUUACUGGCUUUCAGGUCAGUGAUUUUUGUCCCCAUGGCAUCCAUCUCCCCCACAGAAACAAAAUUCUGCAUUUCACUGUUACUGCUUUGGUAAUAGCAACUGGACUGACCACUCUGAGGUAUGUUGUUGCUCAUACAGCCAGUAAACAUGGCAGUAAACAGGCCAACACAAAACACAGAAGAGUAUACAUAUCUCUGAGUGUGUUCAUACACAAACUUAAAACUGACUCCUCUCAUGCCAUAAUGAUGAGCAACAUAUUCUGACCAUUCCUUUCCCAUGCAGGCUUAGCCUGGCUGAUCUGUGUACUCAGCACUGAAACCUACACUUUUCCCAGGACCCAUCAGGUCAGACUGCUCAUAAACCAGUGCUUCUUUGAUGGCCCUCAUCCUGCUUUCAAUUGAUGUGGCAGUGCGUGAAUACAUAUGACCGAAAGCUUGAUAUAAAAUUCAUUUGUCUAAACACCACCUAUUUAUGUUUGAUGGCCUGAACAAUUAUUAAUCCUGAUUGGAAAUAUAAGUCAUUGUGUGCACAGUGUCCUGUCACAGCAUCCCUGUUAGCUCCCCUGAGGCCAAAUUCUCUGACAAUGCACACAGUGUCCGGUUCUUUCUGCACACAGCACCAUGCCCUUGCUGAAAUCCCAGGCAGGAAACCUCUUUUUCUGUAUGCUCACCAGUGUGGAUGAUCCCCAGGAAUUUCCCGGGUCUGCCAUUGUAUAUCCCACAAGACAAGAGACAGGCCUUGCACCGCUGUGCCCAACAGUUUCCAUAUUCUCACAUACUGUUCAAAAAUGCCAUAACACAUGCAACCUCAGUGAGCAUAGCAUGUGUCCUUCCUGCCAGGACAUGAGCUCCCACACAGACCUGUGCCUGGGGAGAGCUCUGAAGGAAACAGAGUCUUCUUUAACCCACUGUGAGAGCGGUAAGUACUAGAGCUGCUGCAGGCCUGCUCCUUGGUGGUAUAAUCCCUCUUUGCUUCCCUCUAAUCUCUGAAAUUCUCACUCUUAUUUAAGGACUCUGCUCCUCCUCUGCCAACAAAAUACCAAGUUCAAGGCUUCCAGAUAAGCUACAUCUGCCAAGCAAGCAGUCACAUAUAUGAAACCUAACACAGCAGGACCUACCAAUCGAUGCCUUGCUGGCUGCAUCUAGUAUGCACAUGCACCCGGUGCUCUUUUGUCAGCAGCUGUUCUACACAGCCACCCCCAGCCUCUGCACAGCCCACAGAAAUACAGAUAUUGGCCUGGGCUGUGGCAGUAUUUAUUUGCCUCAUCUGUCACAUCCUCUUUUAUUUUUCUGAUUCUACAAGAAAUGUGUGUCCUCUCUUUCUGAGUGAAUAAGAGGCAGAAGGAGAGAAGAGAGACCACAGAGCACUGUGGAUUAGACACUGUUCAAAGGCACGUUGAGCAGAAUGCAGCACAGACACCCCUGAGAAAAUUGCAUAGAUGAUUUUUGGGUCUUCAGAGUGGAUCAAACCAGGGUAAUCCUCUGUUCCCAGGAGCAUUGUAGGGAACAACCUACUAGGGGAUUGCAGUAGUGACAAAAUCAACAGACCGAUUUUGAAUGUUCAGUCUUGUAGAAGAAUCUUCAGUUCGAGUAUCUUCAUUUUAACUUCAGUCCGAUGUGCCAUUAUCCAUUAGAUGACAACAUUGCCGUACAUACAAAAAAAUCAAGGCUGUUCUGUUUUCUUUAAUGCUGAAUGAGUUAGAAAUGCAGUGUAAGGCUAUAACUAAUAUUCUAGUGCUGGUAGCUAAAAUUCCUGCAUGUUAAUCCAAAAAGGGCUAUAAUAAACAUUUACCUAGACCACCUACCUGAAAACAAGCACAAACUGAAUGAAGGGGCACUGUACCUCUGGCUAGAUAUUCCUGUAUCACCUCUUUCAAUGAUGCAAAAUUGAGAAUACAUCAGUUCUGUCACCCAGCAAAAGCCACAUGCACUGUCAGUUGAUACUCUUGCAUUUCUUACACAAUGAACUGCAAUGACACUUUUACUUUCUGUACAGUGAAUCAAUACAAGGGUAUAACCUCUUACCAACACAAUUCUAGAGAACUGAGAAACUUACUUUCUAUUCGAAGAGUAAGUUAUAUUUCCCUAAAGUCUGAAUGAAAAUGCAUGCAUAUUUCCCGCCCCCCCCAGCGCACUCAUUUACUUAAGUUUUCCCCAAGCAAAACAAAAAUAAUGAAGUAAAUUCCUUAAAGGUAAUACUGAAUCAAUCAGAAACACCAUGUUAAAUGAUUAAUACUAGGUAAAAUAUGUGCAAUCAAUAAGAUUAUUUAAAACUGAAUUUAUAGUGAGGUAGAAGGCUGGUGGGGCUGUUUAUUUUGCUUCCUUUUUUUUUUUUUUGUGGCAUUAGUGGAUUUUGCUUUUUUUUUUUUAAUUUUCAUUUCAGAAAUGGAAUAGUCUGUUUGGUGAACUUACUCAAUUGCUCCUGAAAAUCAUUUGUCAGUGAAAGGAGUAAUGGGAACAUAAUAGCUAAGCCCUCAAAAGUUCAGCUGGAUUAAAAGCAAUUUGAAAUCUUUUUGGGAAUUAAAAUAAAGUUAUUUGCAGAUGGACUUCAUUAGAAAAACUGGUGGCAAGAAUUACUUCACAUCUCUAAAUGUGUCUAGCCAAUAUCCCCUAUGCCUUAAUAUUUUCAGUAUCAGAGAUGAACGCUUUCUUUGUGGUCAUCUGCUUGCUUUAAGGAAAUACCAUACAUUCACAUGCGCAAAUUUACACACAUAUGGAUAAACCAUAUAUAUGUAUGCAUACAUACACACAGUAUUUUUUAAUGUAAGUAGAUGACUGUGUACAUAAAGAGAUUUUCAGAAAUUUGUUUGAGAAUGAGCUACACUUGAUGCUAAGAAACAUACUGGUCCUAAACAUUUUUUAUUUUUUGAAAGCUGCACUUCAAAAAGAUAACAUCUUCUUUUAUACUAUUCUGAUAAUGUAAAUUAAAUAUUGCUAUUGCAAAAGUAUUUUCCUGCUGCGUAUGAAAUGGAUGCACCUUGGAGAACAUAUCUGCCUCCACGUCACUCCAGUACUUCCAGUUAGCUACAGUACCACACACAGGCAGGGAGUUAGGUGUAUAGCUAUCCAGACUGCAUAUAUUAUCUGAUUGGCAUGUCCACUUGCUCCUUUACUGCCAUAAAUGAGUGGCUGUGCAGGUGCCAUUAGCACAUGCAUCUUUUUCUGAAUGCGCCAU
ensembl:lncRNA